ensembl:lncRNA
AUGGGCCGAAAGAAGAAGACUUUACAUGAGUAUGCAGCUGAGUUCACAGACCUAGGGGUAAAACAGCAACUGCUUGAACACAGUGAGUCUGGUGGCACCUCUGUGGUGGAGAUUCUCUACUGCAAAUCCUGUGAGCUGCCCAUGAGGGUAAGGAGGGACCGCAUCCUGGAGCACCUGUCCUCUGGCAGGCAUUACAGGAACCGUCGGCUAGUUAAGCAGCAUGGAGGCCACACUCCUGUCCUCGUACCUGCAGCCUCAGAACUCAGUAGUGGCCUCCCUGUCCAAGUUGAUCCUCCACCAGCCUUGCUUUCUCAGCCUUCCUGUGUUUUACCAGGUGCUCCCUGCAUCACCAGUGCCAGUACCAGUACCAGUACCAGUGCCAGCAUGGUGCCUUCGCCUCCUUCCUACCACAAAGCUUUGUUUCCUGCCCACCCCAGUGCCACCAGCUCCACAACCAGCACUGUGCCUGUCAGAAAAGACCAAACUCCAUCUACCUCCACCAACCACACUUCUCCAUUCAUGACUCUUCAUGGGAGAAGCCCAAUAGUCCCCUCAAAACAGACUAGCCAAAGGCUUGUUAUUUCAGAAGCAUCCAACAGUGUGGCUUCUGGAAGUGGAGCAGGAUGGUUUCAUAGCAAUGGGGCCUUGGGAAGCAGCCUUGGCCUGGCUCUCUUUGGGGUAGGGUAUGGGAACAAGGCCUUGUUUCAGAGCUUAGUGGAAGAAAGCAGGUGUUGCUUGCUUUACAUUGUUGAAGAUCAGCUGUCUGAUGUUGAGCAGGCCUUCAGAUCUGACUAUUUGGUGAACACCCGAGUGCUUCGAGAGCAAGAUGCCGACAUUGUACUUAAUGAUCAGCGGGUCUCUGGAGUUGUUAUCUGUUCACCCCCUGAAGCAGCUUCUGAAAUAGUGAUGGAUGCUUUGAGAGCAGGGAAAGGUGUGUUUUGCGAGAAACUUCCUACUUUGGAUAGACAAAUUGCUGAGAUGUGUUUCGAUGAAGCUAACAGAUGUGGGAAACCAUUAGUCUGUGGAUUCUACAAGCGUUUUGAUCCAGCUUUACAAUUCUUGUACCAGAAAGUCCGUGAGAGCCACGCACUAGGGAGGAUACAUCGGAUAGCUGUUGUUAGCAGCCUCUAUCCGGCAGCUUCUCUCAGUUUACUAAGGAAGUCAGGAGGGAUUUUUUAUAAUGCUGCUGUACAUGACAUGGACAUCAUUACUCUCUUGUUGGGAGAAAGCAUUCCAGAUACAGUCUUUUCCUUGGGACAUGCAUUCUGCUCAGAUGUGGCCUCUUUGGACGACGUCGACAGCGCCGUGAUCAGCAUGAAGUUUCCUAGCGGGGCCAUCGUUAGCCUGGACGUCAGUCAGCACUGCACCAGAAGCUGCGAUCAGAGAGUGGAGGUCCAUGGGUCUCAAGGAACAUUACGGGUCGAUAAUCAGAACCCCCUGGGGAUUAUUGAGCAUGGAACCUCUGUGUCCGUGUACUCACACACGCAUGCCGAUCGGUACCAAGAAGCAUAUAGAAGACUCUUUCGACACUUUCUCAGAGCCCUUAAAGGAAAAGAACCCCCAGUCAUCCCCAAAGAGCAGUUUCUCUGGAGCAUUCAAUUGGCUGCAGCAGCUGAGCAGUCCUGGCGGGAUGGGUCGGCUGUCGACCUACGCAAUGAAGGGCGAGACACAGAUGCUGUGACAUCGAUUAUUAAGACUGAAAUACUGUGAAGAAGGAAGGCCUUGCUGAAGUUUUGCUAAAGAAGGCAAUCUUUUAUUAAUUGCAGUCUUCUGUGACAUUAUUUCCACUGGAAACCAAGAGCUAGGAAUUUGGGGAAAAUAUAUGAAUAUAGCCCUGAUGUAGCAAGUAAUUUUCUUAAGCUAUUCUGUUAGGCCCAGAAAUGAGGCUUGGAGGGCAUCAUUCUGCCAGUGUGAUUUCCUUUGUAUUUGAAAGGGGACCCUUAGGGGAGAAAGAUAGACACUGUUUUUAAAGAACCCAUCGACACAUAUGCAUUAUCUAUCCAGAGCAAUGCACCAACCACUUAGUUUCCACAUUAUAGAAUGAAACAGGUUCAUAUGAAAGUUGUUUUGGAGUUCUCUUAUUUGGGGGGGGGCAGUAGGAGGAGUAGAAUGGGUGAAAGAGAAUGAUACUCCUUUUUCCUCUGAGAGAAGAGAGUAAGAUAAACAGUUUAAGAUAAGGCUUUUCUCCCCUCCAACAGUCAAGUCUAGAUGGGAUUGUGUGUAAAUAUCCCAGAAAAAGAGAGUGCCUUCUCUGCUUUAAGCCAAGUUUUUGGGGUCUCCUUUUCAUUCUUUUGUCAGACUUAUUGCAAAUGUUUUUAUAUACUUGGAAAUUCUUGUCUGUAAUUUCCCAUAUCCCACUUUUUCAAGUAAAAGUAAGUUUUCUAACAAAGCAAAAUGUCACUCUUGUGUUCAACGUGUCAGUGUUACUCUGGUCAUUUUUUCUUCAUGGAAGACUAUGUACUCUUUGAAAACCUAUUUGGCAACAGUAUUACUAAAUCUAUGAUCAUUUGUGGGACAUAUUUUUAACUCAGAUCACCCAGGCCUUAGAAAGCCAUGUCUUUAGGACACAUUUUACAGCCCCCAAAACAGCGGCCAUCUUUGUAGGUUAAUUUCCUGGUCACUUUUAUAGGAAGAUGGUUAUGAACAAAAACUGACCUCCGUGAGCCCAAAGGCAGCUCUAAUGAAAAGUCCUGCAGAGAUGGAGACUUUCCCUUCAGCACAGAAGUGCAUGUCUGUGGCUGUGGAGCUCGACUGUCUCUUCCUAACGUAAAGGGGAGCAUCCACUCAUAAACACUUGUUGCUUCCAGGGCUGGAGGUCUGAACUCUAAUCCCAACAACCUCUUGGUUUUAGCAAGAAGUAGCUUCCUUUGCCCAGCAUGCCUCCCACCCUCCAUAGUGGCCCUCCUACACAGAUUUGCCCAUAAUGUAUAUAUAUAUCAGGGUCUUAAAAAUGAUACUAAACUCUCUAGGACUUCCAGGAGGACGUGUUAAAAUCCCAUUUUGUGUCUUUCAGAAUCACGACUCAUUACAUUGCUUCACCUCUUCCCCCCUUCUCCCCUACCCUAAUGGAGAGGCCUUGUGGAGUGAAUGAGCUUCAAAUUCAGGAAGACCUGGGUUCAAGUUCCAUCUCAUGCUGUUUCUGUGACCCUGGGCAAAUCCCUUGAAUUCUCAUUGUUCUAGGACCAAGUUGUAGAGACGGUGCCCUCUUACAAUGGGGGGAGGGAGUUUUCUUGUCAUGAAGCUCCCUCUAGCAAGAAAAUCUUAGGUUCAGUCCCUACUGUGAAGCCAUCAGGUAAGUGAUAGAAGGUGGCACCUUCCUUGGACUUGGGGAAGAGCCAAGGCCUACUAGAAGCUCAAUCACUUAGUCAGGUAAGCGACUCAAGUAUUUGUGUGUCUUAAUUUCCUGGUGGGUCAUGUGUAGAUGGUAACUACCUCUACUGAUGAGUAUCAUUGUGUAAAAGGGCUUCACAUUCCUUGCCUGGAAGGAGCCUUAAAAACAACUUCAGACUACUUGUUUUUCAAAAACAUGAUUCUCUUUCCAUUUAUUAAUAUUAUUGCAUUGUUAUCUGUAGUAAUUAAUGACUACCAGUAAUAAUUAUAAUUUGUUUUUAAUUAUUUUAGUAUUACUAUAGACCAGGGGGUAUGGGGGAACUUCCAGUAUACAAGCUCCCUUCACUGAUGCAGAGCUGCAAGCCAUCCUAGUCUUAGAGAAGUUAGUCUUAACUGGAGGUCUGUGAAAUUAUUUUUUUUCUAACUUUUUGACAACUAUAUUUCAAUAUAAUUAGUUUCUUUUGUAAUCCUAUAAUUUUAUUUUUUAAACAUCUUCAAUUGUUGUUUAUCAGUUAGUGUGAGAAAGGUUCUAUAGGUUUCACCAGACUUCCAAAGGAGUCCCAUGACACAAUAAAGGUUUAGAACCCCUCUUCA